GUUGAGGAAGAUAAUGACGGUACUCAACAAGGAAGUGACGGCUAACUACGUGCCAGCAGCCGCGGUAAAACGUAGGUCACAAGCGUUGUCCGGAAUUACUGGGUGUAAAGGGAGCGCAGGCGGGAGAACAAGUUGGAAGUGAAAUCCAUGGGCUCAACCCAUGAACUGCUUUCAAAACUGUUUUUCUUGAGUAGUGCAGAGGUAGGCGGAAUUCCCGGUGUAGCGGUGGAAUGCGUAGAUAUCGGGAGGAACACCAGUGGCGAAGGCGGCCUACUGGGCACCAACUGACGCUGAGGCUCGAAAGUGUGGGUAGCAAACAGGAUUAGAUACCCUGGUAGUCCACACCGUAAACGAUGAUUACUAGGUGUUGGAGGAUUGACCCCUUCAGUGCCGCAGUUAACACAAUAAGUAAUCCACCUGGGGAGUACGACCGCAAGGUUGAAACUCAAAGGAAUUGACGGGGGCCCGCACAAGCAGUGGAGUAUGUGGUUUAAUUCGACGCAACGCGAAGAACCUUACCAAGUCUUGACAUCCUGCGACGCACAUAGAAAUAUGUGUUUCCUUCGGGACGCAGAGACAGGUGGUGCAUGGUUGUCGUCAGCUCGUGUCGUGAGAUGUUGGGUUAAGUCCCGCAACGAGCGCAACCCUUAUGGUCAGUUACUACGCAAGAGGACUCUGGCCGGACUGC
rnacentral:rRNA from 1 species